rnacentral:snRNA from 1 species
AUUCUUAAAGGUAGGAAACAGCAGCAUAUACACUAAAAUUGGAACACUAAGGAAACUAUUAGCAUGGCCCUGUGCAAGGGUGACAUAGAAAUUGGGGUGGUAUUCCGUAUUUGA